GAUGCCUUGGCCUAGGCAUCUGAUCGAGACUGCCAAGGCUGUUCAGUGUAGUACACACAUGAACAUAUUUUUACAUUUGAAAAUCUAGCCAUGCCUUAGCGUUGGUUGAGUCUCACUCUCACGCGAUGGGCCAUGUGAAGUGCACUCAAAUCUUUACCUCCAGAGACACCCUCCACAUGGCUCUCCGAUCGAGGUAAGGUAUAUCUGAUUUUGUGCCCUCUCUCUUAGGUUGGUCCACA
rnacentral:lncRNA from 1 species